rnacentral:rRNA from 1 species
GGGUUCUGGGGGUUAGUGGCGAACGGGUGAGUAACACGUGAGUAACCUGCCCUUCACUUCUGGAUAACCGCUUGAAAGGGUGGCUAAUACGGGAUGUUUCUGGGUCUGUCGCAUGGCGGGUUCGGGAAAGAUGGCACUGUUUGGUGUUUUUGGUGGGGGAUGGGCUCGCGGCCUAUCAGCUUGUUGGUGGGGUGAUGGCCUGCCAAGGCUUUGACGGGUAGCCGGCCUGAGAGGGUGGGCGGUCACACUGGGACUGAGAUACGGCCCAGACUCCUACGGGAGGCAGCAGUGGGGAAUAUUGCACAAUGGGCGGAAGCCUGAUGCAGCGACGUCGCGUGAGGGAUGGAGGCCUUCGGGUUGUGAACCUCUUUCGCCAGUGAGGAAGGCCUUGCCCGUGUGGUGGGGUUGACGGUAGCUGGGUUAAUUGAAGCGCCGGCUAACUACGUGCCAGCAGCCGCGGUAAUACGUAGGGCGCGAGCGUUGUCCGGAAUUAUUGGGCGUAAAGGGCUUGUAGGCGGUUGGUCGCGUCUGCCGUGAAAUCCUCUGGCUCAGCUGGGGGCGUGCGGUGGGUACGGGCUGGCUUGAGUGCGGUAGGGGAGGCUGGAACUCCUGGUGUAGCGGUGGAAUGCGCAGAUAUCAGGAGGAACACCGGUGGCGAAGGCGGGUCUCUGGGCCGUUACUGACGCUGAGGAGCGAAAGCGUGGGGAGCGAACAGGAUUAGAUACCCUGGUAGUCCACGCUGUAAACGUUGGGCACUAGGUGUGGGGGGUCUUUCCGGGUCCUCCGCGCCGUAGCUAACGCAUUAAGUGCCCCGCCUGGGGAGUACGGCCGCAAGGCUAAAACUCAAAGGAAUUGACGGGGGCCCGCACAAGCGGCGGAGCAUGCGGAUUAAUUCGAUGCAACGCGAAGAACCUUACCAAGGCUUGACAUGUGCCGGUUGUCCUUCGGAGACGGAGGGUCCUCCCUUUGCGGGGGUCGGUUCACAGGUGGUGCAUGGUUGUCGUCAGCUCGUGUCGUGAGAUGUUGGGUUAAGUCCCGCAACGAGCGCAACCCUUGUCCCGUGU